rnacentral:lncRNA from 1 species
UCCUUUUUUAGGAUUUUUUUACAAAAUAAUCAUCUAAAAUUUUAUAAUUUAUAAAAUAAUCCUAUCAAAUUUGUAUUUGGUAAAUUAACUCUCAAAACGCGAUGAAUCAUUCACCGCAUUCUGAAAGUCUCUAAGGUCUUUUAAAUUCUUCAUAAUUUUUUGGGAAAGAGAAAAAAAUGAAAUUGUUAUAAUUGUACGUAGAUUAUACGGGAAAUAAAAAAAGUGUGGUUGUUAGGAUUGUGUGUGGAAUAUUAGAAUUUUUGUUUGAUUGUUAGAAUUAUAUGGAUAGAUUAUUAAAUUUUUUUUGAUUGUUAGGAUUGUAUGGAUAGAUUAUUAGACAGAUUGUUAAGAUUAUAUGUGAUUUGUUGAAAUAUUUAUGUGGUUGUUAGGAUUAUAGAAAGAAACAAUAAACAAGUGAAAGGCGGUGAAUGAUUCACCGCUUUUCUGAGAAAUUAGGCUCUUUAUGAAAGCGGUGAAUCAUUCACCGUCUUUAAGAGAUUAGUUUUUNAAGUGUGGUUGUUAGGAUUGUGUGUGGAAUGUUAGAAUUUUUGUUUGAUUAUUAGAAUUGUAUGGAUAGAUUAUUAAUUUUUUUUUGAUUGUUAGGAUUAUAUGGAUACAUUAUUUGGAUUUUCAAAUUGUUAAGAUUAUAUGUGAUGUUUGAUUAUUACGAUUGUAUAGAUAGAUUAUUAGAAUCUUUUUGAUUGUUAGGAUUGUAUGGAUAGAUUAUUAAAAUUUUCAGGUCGUUAAGAUUACAUGUGAUUUGUUGAAAUAUUUAUGUGGUUGUUAGGAUUAUAGAAAGAAAUAAUAAAUAAGUGGAAGGCGGUGACUUUUUUGAAAAAUUAGGAUCUUUAUAAAAACGGUGAAUCAUUCACCGUCUUUAAGAGAUUAGUUUUUAAAAUAUAAUUUUGGCAAAAUUAUUUUUCAAAUAAUAAAAUUUUAAAAGAUUAUUUUUUUAAAAAAAUCCCCUUUUUAACCCUCUCUAUCGUCCUCACGCGGCAACCAUAUUUAAAAGAGGAGUAAUACUUGCUGCAUAUCUAUCUACAAAAUGUAAAUUUUACACUCUAUUCAUGCAAAGACUACUAUUAUCUUGUUGGUCUUAUCAACUAUUUGU